rnacentral:rRNA from 1 species
GACCUUGCCGGAUGCUUUCCAUGCAGUCGAGCGGCAGCGCGGGGGAACCUGGCGGCGAGCGGCGAACGGGUGAGUAAUGCAUCGGAACAUGUCCAUGUCGUGGGGGAUAGCCCGGCGAAAGCCGGAUUAAUACCGCAUACGCCCGAGAGGGGAAAGCCGGGGACCGCAAGGCCUGGCGCGAUUGGGUUGGCCGAUGUCCGAUUAGCUAGUUGGCGGGGUAAGAGCCCACCAAGGCGAUGAUCGGUAGCUGGUCUGAGAGGAUGAUCAGCCACACUGGGACUGAGACACGGCCCAGACUCCUACGGGAGGUAGCAGUGGGGAAUUUUGGACAAUGGGGGAAACCCUGAUCCAGCCAUUCCGCGUGAGUGAAGAAGGCCUUCGGGUUGUAAAGCUCUUUUGUCCGGAACGAAACGGAUGGCGUGAACAACGUCGUCUACUGACGGUACCGGAAGAAUAAGCACCGGCUAACUACGUGCCAGCAGCCGCGGUAAUACGUAGGGUGCGAGCGUUAAUCGGAAUUACUGGGCGUAAAGCGUGCGCAGGCGGUUUUGUAAGCCAGAUGUGAAAUCCCCGGGCUUAACCUGGGAAUGGCAUUUGGGACUGCAAGGCUUGAGUGCGGCAGAGGAGACUGGAAUUCCCGGUGUAGCAGUGAAAUGCGUAGAUAUCGGGAGGAAUACCGAUGGCGAAGGCAGGUCUCUGGGCUGACACUGACGCUCAUGCACGAAAGCGUGGGGAGCAAACAGGAUUAGAUACCCUGGUAGUCCACGCCCUAAACGAUGUCGACUGGUUGUUGGGGGUUUGACACUCUCAGUAACGAAGCUAACGCGUGAAGUCGACCGCCUGGGGAGUACGGCCGCAAGGUUAAAACUCAAAGGAAUUGACGG